rnacentral:rRNA from 1 species
AAUUUUGGACAAUGGGGGAAACCCUGAUCCAGCAAUGCCGCGUGCAGGAUGAAGGCCUUCGGGUUGUAAACUGCUUUUGUACGGAACGAAAAGUCUUGGGUUAAUAUCCUGGAAUCUUGACGGUACCGUCAGAAUAAGCACCGGCUAUCGUCGUGCCAGCAGCUGCGGUAAUACGGAGGGUGCAAGCGUUAAUUGGAAUUACGGGGCGUAAAACGUGCGGUGGCGGUUUUGUAAGACAGUGGUGAAAUCCCCGGGCACAACCUGGGAACUGCCAUUGUGACUGCAAGGCUGGAGUGCGGCAGAGGGGGAUGGAAUUCCGCGUGUAGCAGUGAAAUGCGUAGAUAUGCGGAGGAACACCGAUGGCGAAGGCAAUCCCCUGGGCCUGCACUGACGCUCAUGCACGAAAGCGUGGGGAGCAAACAGG